rnacentral:tRNA from 1 species
GGAUUGUAGCUCAGUGGUAGAGUGCUUGCCUAGCACAUGCGAGGCCCUGGGUUUGAUCCUCAGCACCA